rnacentral:rRNA from 1 species
GAUGAGCGCUGGCGGCGUGCCUAAUACAUGCAAGUCGAGCGAAUGGAUUAAGAGCUUGCUCUUAUGAAGUUAGCGGCGGACGGGUGAGUAACACGUGGGUAACCUGCCCAUAAGACUGGGAUAACUCCGGGAAACCGGGGCCAAUACCGGAUAACAUUUUGAACCGCAUGGUUCGAAAUUGAAAGGCGGCUUCGGCUGUUACUUAUGGAUGGACCCGCGUCGCAUUAGCUAGUUGGUGAGGUAACGGCUCACCAAGGCAACGAUGCGUAGCCGACCUGAGAGGGUGAUCGGCCACACUGGGACUGAGACACGGCCCAGACUCCUACGGGAGGCAGCAGUAGGGAAUCUUCCGCAAUGGACGAAAGUCUGACGGAGCAACGCCGCGUGAGUGAUGAAGGCUUUCGGGUCGUAAAACUCUGUUGUUAGGGAAGAACAAGUGCUAGUUGAAUAAGCUGGCACCUUGACGGUACCUAACCAGAAAGCCACGGCUAACUACGUGCCAGCCGCCGCUGUAA